rnacentral:rRNA from 1 species
CAGUCGCCACGGUAAUACGUAGGUCCCGAGCGUUGUCCGGAUUUAUUGGGCGUAAAGCGAGCGCAGGCGGUUAGAUAAGUCUGAAGUUAAAGGCUGUGGCUUAACCAUAGUACGCUUUGGAAACUGUUUAGCUUGAGUGCAAGAGGGGAGAGUGGAAUUCCAUGUGUAGCGGUGAAAUGCGUAGAUAUAUGGAGGAACACCGGUGGCGAAAGCGGCUCUCUGGCUUGCAACUGACGCUGAGGCUCGAAAGCGUGGGGCGCAAACAGGAUUAGAUACCCCCGUAGUCCCUGUCUCUUAUACC